AGAUUGAACGCUGGCGGCAUGCUUUACACAUGCAAGUCGAACGGUAACAGGCCCUUCGGGGGUGCUGACGAGUGGCGGACGGGUGAGUAAUGCGUAGGAAUCUACCCACGAGUGGGGGAUAGCCCGGAGAAAUCCGGAUUAAUACCGCAUAUGCCCUACGGGGUAAAGCGGGGGAUCGUAAGACCUCGCGCUGGUGGAUGAGCCUACGUCCGAUUAGUUAGUUGGUGGGUAAAGGCCUACCAAGGCUACGAUCGGUAGCUGGUCUGAGAGGACGACCAGCCACACUGGGACUGAGACACGGCCCAGACUCCUACGGGAGCAGC
rnacentral:rRNA from 1 species